CCCCCGGUCCCCGGGGGAGCGAGGGCUGCGCGCCGCGCACAGGCCUGCCGUCAGCCCUCGCCAGCGGGAGCCGCUGUGAGGUAAAAACCGAACUGAAGUGAGGCAAAGGGCCUCGGGCCAGCCAGGCCCAGUCGAGGGACAGAGCCUGCCUUGUUCAGCCGUGGUAAACAAAAGCAGUGCAUCUUCGCUGUGGUCUCACCGCACAGUGGCCUGUGUGUGCGUUGGGCCAAAGGAAAAACGCGUGGGUUGUUUCGCUGUGAGCCGUGCAUGCGUGUGGUAGCCCCGUCCCAGCUCCCAGGAUUUAGUGCACAGUUCUGACCUUGUAACUUCUGAUGUGAUGAGUUUGUGCCUUGAUUUCUCUCUCGUCCGUGCCAAGUGAACGUGCUUCGUCUGAAAGCUCUGGAACUAAGUUGUCUGUUACAGACGUGCAAAAAGGGAACGAGCUUGGCUGCUGACCUGAAGAGGUGGCGAGUCCAGGAAAAAACGCCAGAGCCAGAGGGACGGACCUACAAAUACAUGCUGUGAAGUCUUCAUCCAGGAGACAGGAAGAAGAGACGUUGGGACAGGGAGGAACUAAAAAGCCAUGUACAACUUUGAUAGGACAGCUGCAACGUGGAAAACUUCACACAAGCAUGUACUGAAGUGACGCUGAAAACUUCUCACAAACGGAGGAAGGAAGCAAACUGCAAAAUAAAAUUUUCCGAUGCCUCCCAAAUAUAUUCAUCGCCUAAUACACUACCGGCAUCCAGACCACUUAAAAGGCUGGGAGGGUAGUGUGCUAUGCUCGUUGUGGUCACUACCUAUCUAAGACUCUGGUCAUCAAGAUCUCUGUGGGCAGAACCCUGCAAAUGCAAAGGAUUCUACUGAUCUAGGUGGGAAAUCCUUGUAUUACUAAGUUUCAGCAUUUUGUCAGGGCCGGGUUUAGUUGGACCUGCAAAACUUGCCAAACCCCUGACUGAUAAAGCAUGCCAUCAGUUGACGAGAUUUGGGAGUCCCAUCUACCUUAAGACUCCAAACGUCACGGCUUAUCUAAUGAUGCCAGGCAUUUUCACUUUUGUUUGUCUUCCAUUAUCAUUAAACGGGUUUUAGCAUGGUCUGGCAAGAAACACUGCUGUCCUGUGGCGUGCCCCUUUUCACCCGUCUGUUCAGGAGUGUCCAUUACAUUCAACAGUGUUCCUGCUACCCUUGUUAAUUUUUAGCAAGUCCUGUCAGAGGCAUCCCCACCCAAAACCUGCUAGCAUCUCAGAUUUGCAUCUUAUUACCAUUUGAGCAUCCUCCUUUCCUUUUUCUUCGCUACAUGGCUGUACGCAGUCGCCACACAUUUGCAUGUUAAUGCGCUCAGGUACAGGUGUCAGCCUGUGACACGUGGGACCUUGGAAGGGCUGAAGUAUCAUUUACCUACGUCCUGUUUACAUGUUCCAUUUCGCAUAUUCACACCGUGCCACACACAAAUAUGUGUAGGGUGUAGUAACACAGGCGUAACCACAGGAUCCUAAAUUAAACAGAGAUGUAAAACACUAAACUUAGUAAACAUACCUCCAAAUAAUGGACAAAAAUACCACUAAUUAUACACAAAACGGGAUUUUUACAACUGCUGCAAGACCUUCCCUUCAGGGUUGGUUUACUUUUCAGGUUACAAAGCUUGCCACCUCUGCAAAAGGCAUAGUUUUCCUUUGCUGAUUACUUUGGUGUUCCAAAUUCUGAGAGUAGCACACAGACCAGGAAGUAGGUUUUGUUUCAUUUUCAUGCACAAAGAACUAAAAGUGAUAGAGGUGGUUUUGCUGUAGUUACUUCAAAAAUUCUCGUAGUUGGGUUUAGAUUUAUCAUUUUCAGCUGAAAUUCAAAUCAUAGCACAUUCUGUGUUCAAGGCGGGGGGGGGGGAGACUAUUUGCAAAAUCUUCACCAAUUAGAACAAGGCUAAGGAAGUUAGUCAUUUAAGUCAAAUCUGUGAGGUCAGACUGUCUGCGUGUGUUUCACUUUUCCUACGUUUGGAGUAGGAUGUAAAAUGCUUCAUGUUUAACUACAUAUGUUUUAAUAGUUUUUCGCUUUCUCUUUGUGGAGGCCCAGCCUUAAAGAAAAACAUAUUUCUGUUAAAAAAUACGCUUUUUUCUUUAACUAUAUUGCACAAAGAACACUCUUGACAGGAACUCUUUCAUUAUUUAUAGUCAUUCUCUGAAACCUGUUUCUUUUGAGUGAUGUGAGUGAAUACCUCCUUCCCAGAGGAGAAGAACAAGCACCUGUAAAUACAGCUUUGCAUACGAUUUGGCUCCUGAAAGGACACAAUUCUAAUACAUCCACUUUGGGGGGAAAAAAAAACACACAACAAAACCCCCAACAAAACUAGGAAAAAAAGCCAUCUCUUGGCUUUGAGGGACCCAAUGGUAAGGGUCAGUUUGUCCCCUUAUAGACAUUCACUUGGUAACCAUUCCCCUGAGAGACAGUAGCGAGCACCUACGCCAUAAUGCAUUUCUGCAAAGACUGCUUUUGGAGCAUAGACCUGAGAAUGCAAAAUACACUUCCCCAGACACUGAAUUCGUACCCUGAACACUGCUCCUGGUGGAAGAUGCACUUCUUUAACUUCUUUUCUAACAGCCCUCUGUGUUCUUGAUCAGAUACAAAAUGCUGCAUCAUACAGCAAUCCCAAAGAAAAAAAUUUUAAAAAAACCUAAACCCCACAGAAAAAAAAUCCUGUGAGAACAAGCAUCAGUUCAAUUGCUGAGCAACUGAAAAGCACUCAGACAGUACAGUGACUGACGUGGUACAAGGACUUCUGUGAAACAGAGAGGAAUAAAAUCAGCUGAUUGCCUCAUGUGAACAGCAAUUCCUGCACUGAUCUCCACUCUGACCGUGGCUCUGUUAAAUGGUCCAAGCCUUCAAACCCUCUCGUCCAUGUGGCUCAGCACAGGUUGGUGUGGAUCUGAUCUGGAGAUGGAGUAAAUGCAUUUCUUGCCAAGUUAGUUGAGUAAUAACUGAGCAGCAGCGUGGGAUUUCCUUUUAAGGAACAUGCUCCUUUCUCCUACUAUAGGAUAAAACCUAGCGUGCAGCCAACAGUUAUGUAGCUGGAAAAAGCAGGCAGGCAAGUGAGUGCAAGUAAUUGUCUUAAGUGUAGAACUUCUUGAAAAUAAAUUUUUAAAUACAGCCCACUGAUGGGAAAUGGCUUGGUAUAAACAGCAUUUCAGGGAACCACAAAAUUACUGUCACUCUGUGACUUUCAGAGCUUUUUGCAUCGUGUCGGAGUAGACAGAUACAUAUGCUAGCACCAUCUGGUAGGAAAAGUGUCAGUAAGAAAAGUCUGAGGUUCUCCUUCCUUAACAAAAUCUGUUAACAGAAUGAAAGAAAACAAAAUUAAUAAACCUGAAACCUGAGCUGAAGGAGGACCUUGAGGUCUAGACACUGCAAACCUCAGCUUGCAGCGUUUGCCAGUGGCCCUGCAGUCAAAACUCCUAGUGGUUGCAGUGUAGGUGCUUCUGGAGUCCAUAAGUAUCAGUCUCCACUGAGUUACGCUUUACUUCCUAAGCAAAUUUUGCUUGCACAGGUUUUUUUUUUGUUGUGUUUUCCCCUAAGACUAUUUCAUCUUCAGAGCAGGAUGUCCUCUGUGUUUAACUGUUGCCUGAACACAAUGAUACGUGAUUUCGUAUGGGUUCUGGUUACACUGUUAUACAAAUUGAAUGUAUUUGUAUUCAUAAUAAAGAGGGGCUAAAGUUGUGCCUUCCUGGGUCUACCUAUCACCAGGGAAAUAGAUUGUAACUCCCCCAAAAACGUAUUUGAAUAUCUCUUGGCAGUAGGGAAGUCUACUAACUUGAAAACCUGUUACAACAGAUUUUGGAGGGACCAGGGUUCGUUUUCUUUCUUUUGAAAAAUCUAAGCAAAAUCACC